GAUGAACGCUAGCUACAGGCUUAACACAUGCAAGUCGCAGGGUAACAUGAGGAAAGCUUGCUUUCCUUGAUGACGACUGGCGCACGGGUGAGUAACGCGUAUCCAACCUUCCCAUAACUACGGGAUAACCCGUUGAAAGACGGCCUAAUACCGUAUGAUAUCGUUUGCUGACAUCAAAUAACGAUUAAAGGUUUAGCGGUUAUGGAUGGGGAUGCGUCUGAUUAGCUUGUUGGCGGGGUAACGGCCCACCAAGGCGACGAUCAGUAGGGGUUCUGAGAGGAAGGUCCCCCACAUUGGAACUGAGACACGGUCCAAACUCCUACGGGAGGCAGCAGUGAGGAAUAUUGGUCAAUGGGCGAGAGCCUGAACCAGCCAAGUAGCGUGCAGGACGACGGCCCUAUGGGUGGUAAACUGCUUUUAUGGGGGGAUAAAGUGCGUGACGUGUCAUGCAUUGCAGGUACCACAUGAAUAAGGACCGGCUAAUUCCGUG
rnacentral:rRNA from 1 species